CGGAUCCGCGCCGCUGCAGAGUUUGAUCCUGGCUCAGGAUGAACGCUGGCGGCGUGCCUAACACAUGCAAGUCGAGCGGGAAUCAUCUGAUUGAAACUUCGGUAGAUAGAGGAUGAGGAUAGCGGCGGACGGGUGAGUAACGCGUAGGUAACCUGCCCCUUACACAGGGAUAGCCUCGGGAAACUGGGAUUAAUACCUGAUAACGCGGUGAAGUCACAUGGCUUUACCGCCAAAGAUUUAUCGGUGAGGGAUGGACCUGCGUCUGAUUAGCUUGUUGGUGAGGUAACGGCCCACCAAGGCAACGAUCAGUAGCCGACCUGAGAGGGUAAUCGGCCACAUUGGAACUGAGACACGGUCCAAACUCCUACGGGAGGCAGCAGUGGGGAAUAUUGCACAAUGGGCGCAAGCCUGAUGCAGCAACGCCGCGUGAGCGAAGAAGGUCUUCGGAUCGUAAAGCUCUGUCCUCAGGAACGAAGAAGUGACGGUACCUGAGGAGGAAGCCCCGGCUAACUACGUGCCAGCAGCCGCGGUAAUACGUAGGGGGCGAGCGUUAUCCGGAAUUAUUGGGCGUAAAGAGUACGUAGGCGGUUCUGUAAGCGUGAGGUGAAAGCCCGGGGCUUAACUCCGGUAAGCCUUUCGAACUGCAGGACUUGAGUGCUGGAGGGGAAAGUGGAAUUCCUAGUGUAGCGGUGAAAUGCGUAGAUAUUAGGAGGAACACCAGUGGCGAAGGCGACUUUCUGGACAGUAACUGACGCUGAGGUACGAAAGCGUGGGGAGCAAACAGGAUUAGAUACCCUGGUAGUCCACGCCGUAAACGAUGAGCACUAGGUGUCGGGGCAGCAAUGUUUCGGUGCCGCAGUUAACGCAAUAAGUGCUCCGCCUGGGGAGUACGCACGCAAGUGUGAAACUCAAAGGAAUUGACGGGGACCCGCACAAGCAGCGGAGCAUGUGGAUUAAUUCGAAGCAACGCGAAGAACCUUACCAGGGCUUGACAUCCCUCUGAAAGGCUGGGUAAAACCGGCCCCUCUUCGGACAGAGGUGACAGGUGGUGCAUGGUUGUCGUCAGCUCGUGUCGUGAGAUGUUGGGUUAAGUCCCGCAACGAGCGCAACCCUUGUCUUUAGUUGCCAGCAUUUCGGAUGGGCACUCUAGAGAGACUGCCGGGGACAACUCGGAGGAAGGUGGGGAUGACGUCAAAUCAUCAUGCCCCUUAUGUUCUGGGCUUCACACGUGCUACAAUGGUCGUUACAGAGAGAAGCAAUACCGUGAGGCGGAGCGAACCUCUAAAAGCGAUCCCAGUUCGGACUGCAGGCUGCAACUCGCCUGCACGAAGUCGGAGUUGCUAGUAAUCGCGAAUCAGAACGUCGCGGUGAAUGCGUUCCCGGGUCUUGUACACACCGCCCGUCACACCAUGGAAGUUGGGGGCGCCCGAAGUUGGUCACAAAUCGAUUACCUAAGGCGAAACCAAUGACUGGGGUGAAGUCGUAACAAGGUAACCCGGGCGGCCGCCGAGCC
rnacentral:rRNA from 1 species